AGGGCCAUAUCAUAUUGAAACACCGGUUCUCUUACAAUCACCAAAGUUAAGCAACAUCGAACCUGGUUAGUACCUAGAUGGGUAACCGCUUGGGAAUACCAGGUAUUGUAA